rnacentral:rRNA from 1 species
AGUGAACGCUGGCGGUAGGCCUAACACAUGCAAGUCGAACGGCAGCACAGGAGAGCUUGCUCUCUGGGUGGCGAGUGGCAGACGGGUGAGGAAUACAUCGGAGUCUACUCUGUCGUGGGGGAUAACGUAGGGAAACUUACGCUAAUACCGCAUACGACCUACGGGGGAAAGCAGGGGACCUUCUGGCCUUGCGCGAUUGAAUGAGCGGAUGUCGGAUUAGCUAGUUGGCGGGGUAAAGGCCCACCAAGGCGACGAUCCGUAGCUGGUCUGAGAGGAUGAUCAGACACACUGGAACUAAGACACGGUCCAGACUCCUACGGGAGGCAGCAGUGGGGAAUAUUGGACAAUGGGCGCAAGCCUGAUCCAGCCAUACCGCGUGGGUGAAGAAGGCCUUCGGGUUGUAAAGCCCUUUUGUUGGGAAAGAAAUCCAGCUGGCUAAUACCCGGUUGGGAUGACGGUACCCAAAGAAUAAGCACCGGCUAACUUCGUGCCAGCAGCCGCCGUAA